rnacentral:lncRNA from 1 species
AGUUGCCCUUGCCCAAUGCUUUCGAGUAUAAUGGCUCAAAGUUUCCAUUUCCUUAUCACUAUAAUCUUCGAAAUGUACUCGUUGAUUAUACCCAUUCUUUUCAUUUGUUGGUUGUUUGUAACCAAUAUCAACCUCUUCUUCAUCUUUAUAUAUUCUUGCAUCAAUAGCAUGACUCAUUCCAGUUUUAUCCAUUAAUUGCCUCUUUCGCUUAAUGCUGUCAAUGAUAACAUCAUGAAACUCCUUCUUUGCAAUUCCCAAAACUUCUUUCAAUGUGAAUUCUACCUUAGCAUUUAAUAUACAUUCUUCCAACACUCCUUUCAAAUUUGUUGCCGCUUCAAUGUCAGAAAGUAGCUUAUAAGCAAUUGAUUUGCCCUUAUCUUUUGUUUCCCUUGUUUUUUCUUCUAAUGAUGCUGAGGUAUCCUUUACAUGCAAUUCUUGUA